GACGUAGGGUGCAAGCGUUGUCCGGAUUUAUUGGGCGUAAAGAGCUCGUAGGCGGCUUGUUGCGUCGACUGUGAAAACCCGCGGCUUAACCGCGGGCUUGCAGUUGAUACGGGCAGGCUAGAGUUCGGUAGGGGAGACUGGAAUUCCUGGUGUAGCGGUGAAAUGCGCAGAUAUCAGGAGGAACACCGAUGGCGAAGGCAGGUCUCUGGGCCGAUACUGACGCUGAGGAGCGAAAGCGUGGGGAGCGAACAGG
rnacentral:rRNA from 1 species